AUGAACGCUGGCGGCGUGCCUAAUACAUGCCAGUCGAGCGAACGGACGAGAAGCUUGCUUUUCUGAUGUUAGCGGCGGACGGGUGAGUAACACGUGGAUAACCUACCUAUAAGACUGGGAUAACUUCGGGAAACCGGAGCUAAUACCGGAUAAUAUUUUGAACCGCAUGGUUCAAAAGUGAAAGACGGUCUUGCUGUCACUUAUAGAUGGAUCCGCGCUGCAUUAGCUAGUUGGUAAGGUAACGGCUUACCAAGGCAACGAUGCAUAGCCGACCUGAGAGGGUGAUCGGCCACACUGGAACUGAGACACGGUCCAGACUCCUACGGGAGGCAGCAGUAGGGAAUCUUCCGCAAUGGGCGAAAGCCUGACGGAGCAACGCCGCGUGAGUGAUGAAGGUCUUCGGAUCGUAAAACUCUGUUAUUAGGGAAGAGCAUAUGUGUAAGUAACUGUGCACAUCUUGACGGUACCUAAUCAGAAAGCCACGGCUAACUACGUG
rnacentral:rRNA from 1 species